rnacentral:rRNA from 1 species
AUGGCCUUCUGCCUACAAUCCCAAACACAGACAUGUCAACAUUCUGCUAUUAUUACUCCCUCAACAUGUACACAUUAUUUGACAGGUUACAAUGUAUCCUCCACUUACAGAUUUCAAUCCAAGAUAUCAUUGCUCUGGACGGCUAUGGUGUCCUCGAGCUGCAGUAUCUUGGACAUGAUGGUCAUCACGCGCUCCCGAACCUCCAGUGUGCUGCACGAACCUGCCAACAAUAAGCACCACCAAAAUGCCGACACUGCCAUCCCCAUGGCAACCAGCAAACGGACACAAGACGGCCGGCAAAUAGACGGCGAACCUCACGACGGUGCCCUUGGUGAAUCAUGGUGCGCCGGCCUCCAAAUCCGGCUGGAGCAGGAUGGUGUAGCUUCCAUUGGCGAUCUGCUCUUGAGUUGCCUUGAGGUCUCAGAAUGCUGGAGGCGAUCUUCUUCCUCCCGUUGGUUAUCACAACCAAAUCACAAAAUAGUAAUGAAUAUGCAAAAUAAAUAA